rnacentral:rRNA from 2 species
UAGGGAAUCUUCGGCAAUGGACGAAAGUCUGACCGAGCAACGCCGCGUGAGUGAAGAAGGUUUUCGGAUCGUAAAACUCUGUUGUUAGAGAAGAACAAGGACGUUAGUAACUGAACGUCCCCUGACGGUAUCUAACCAGAAAGCCACGGCUAACUACGUGCCAGCAGCCGCGGUAAUACGUAGGUGGCAAGCGUUGUCCGGAUUUAUUGGGCGUAAAGCGAGCGCAGGCGGUUUCUUAAGUCUGAUGUGAAAGCCCCCGGCUCAACCGGGGAGGGUCAUUGGAAACUGGGAGACUUGAGUGCAGAAGAGGAGAUUGGAAUUCCAUGUGUAGCGGUGAAAUGCGUAGAUAUAUGGAGGAACACCAGUGGCGAAGGCGGCUCUCUGGUCUGUAACUGACGCUGAGGCUCGAAAGCGUGGGGAGCAAACAGG